CGGCAUGCUUAACACAUGCAAGUCGCACGGUUGGGGGCAACCCUGGCAGUGGCGGACGGGUGAGUAACGCGUAGGAAUCUAUCCUUGGGUGGGGGACAACCGUGGGAAACUACGGCUAAUACCGCAUGAUCCCUGAGGGGCAAAGGCGAGAGUCGCCUGAGGAGGAGCCUGCGUCUGAUUAGGUAGUUGGUGGGGUAAAGGCCUACCCAAGCCUACGAUCAGUAGCUGGUCUGAGAGGAUGAUCAGCCACAUUGGGACUGAGACACGGCCCAAACUCCUACGGGAGGCAGCAGUGGGGAAUAUUGGACAAUGGGCGCAAGCCUGAUCCAGCAAUGCCGCGUGGGUGAAGAAGGUCUUCGGAUUGUAAAGCCCUUUUGGCGGGGACGAUGAUGACGGUACCCGCAGAAUAAGCUCCGGCUAACUUCGUG
rnacentral:rRNA from 1 species